GCACUUAUUUCAGCAGCACAUACACUAAAACUGAAAUGAUACAGAGAAGAUUAGCAUGGCCCUUGUGCAAGGACGAUGUAACAAUAAAUGAAGCGUUCUAUCCUUAG
ensembl:snRNA U6 U6 spliceosomal RNA